rnacentral:piRNA from 1 species
UGAUCUGUACUAAGAAGUCAUGUUGUUCCU